AUCCCCCAGCCCCCCUUCUCACCACCGCUUAUAAUGGCUCCCGGGGCUCCCUCAGAGGUGGACGGCCCGUCUAUGUCUACCAACUUUUCUCCAAGAAUAAGAUGAAGAGAGCGGAGGUGAUGCCGAGACAGACCCUUUCCCCCCACUUUCCUGCCUCCUAGUCUCAGAUGCUCCACGCGGGAUUUGGACGCCCUCUGAGGGUUCUUCCUCUUCUUCUGACUCAAUAGCAGUUCAAUUAGGAACCAUUAAACUAUUUUCCUGGUGUAUGUCUAAAUUAUUUUAAGUGUGUGUUCCUAACACAGAAAUACAAACAGCACAGUCUGUAUGUUAAUGAUUUAAUGCUGUCUCCACCAGAGGCAUCACUGCCGAAGAAAGAUUGUCCACCCAACAUCUUUGGUAGUCAUCCUGGGAGGCAAAACUUUGGAGAUGAAAAGAAUAUAAGAUGCCAUUCAAAUCAGCAGCUCUGGAGAAAGAGGACUGAAUCAGUUCAUUCUGGGAACUAAGCUGAAUGGAGUCCAGAUCACCCUCCGUUUCCCAGCGUUGUGUCUUGUCUGUCUCUGUGGAUACUUAAUGUCCUUCACUAAUGUAUUUGGCUAGUCUGUUCUUGCUAGCACACCUGUAGACUAAUUUCUACAAAUUCAGAUCUUACAAAAAGCUGAGUCUUUAACUUCAUGCAAUGGCAGAGUUGUGACAUCUUAGACUCAUUUUCUCCCAAAUGGCUUUCUGCUGCCCUCAACUGGUAGUGAGUCAUCAAUGCAGUAAAUCUCUGCAUUCAUGCUAACCCCCAGCAUUGUUUGACUCUAAAGGAGAUGUAGAAAAAUUAUUAACCACAUUACAGAUGAUUUUUAUUACAGAGAAAAAAAUGGAACUCAGAGGUUUUUAAGGUGUCCACCUAUUAUUCUCUAUUUCCUCAUUUUCUACCCAGUUGCAUGUGAUACAUGAAGAAAAGUAUUUGGCCUUUUCUUCUUUCAAGUAUGUGUGUGUGCCAGAGUAUUUGGAAGGGCUGCUUAAUUAUCAAAUCAAGAUGCAUUUCAGCUGGUGUAAUACCUAGGAGAUAUUUCUGUAAUUAGUCAUAAGUGAUGUUAAGUAUUUUAUCUCUAAUGUUAUAAAGAGACAGAGAAUUAUAUAAGGACCAUAAA
rnacentral:lncRNA from 1 species